rnacentral:rRNA from 1 species
UACGAAGGGGGCUAGCGUUGCUCGGAAUCACUGGGCGUAAAGGGUGCGUAGGCGGGUUUUUAAGUCAGGAGGUGAAAUCCUGGAGCUCAACUCCAGAACUGCCUUUGAUACUGAAAGUCUUGAGUAUGGGAGAGGUGAGUGGAACUGCGAGUGUAGAGGUGAAAUUCGUAGAUAUUCGCAAGAACACCAGUGGCGAAGGCGGCUCACUGGCCCGAUACGUGACGGACUGAGGC